AUGAACGCUAGCUACAGGCUUAACACAUGCAAGUCGAGGGGCAGCAUGGUCUUAGCUUGCUAAGGCUGAUGGCGACCGGCGCACGGGUGAGUAACACGUAUCCAACCUGCCGUCUACUCUUGGCCAGCCUUCUGAAAGGAAGAUUAAUCCAGGAUGGGAUCAUGAGUUCACAUGUCCGCAUGAUUAAAGGUAUUUUCCGGUAGACGAUGGGGAUGCGUUCCAUUAGAUAGUAGGCGGGGUAACGGCCCACCUAGUCAACGAUGGAUAGGGGUUCUGAGAGGAAGGUCCCCCACAUUGGAACUGAGACACGGUCCAAACUCCUACGGGAGGCAGCAGUGAGGAAUAUUGGUCAAUGGGCGAUGGCCUGAACCAGCCAAGUAGCGUGAAGGAUGACUGCCCUAUGGGUUGUAAACUUCUUUUAUAAAGGAAUAAAGUCGGGUAUGCAUACCCGUUUGCAUGUACUUUAUGAAUAAGGAUCGGCUAACUCCGUGCCAGCAGCCGCGGUAAUACGGAGGAUCCGAGCGUUAUCCGGAUUUAUUGGGUUUAAAGGGAGCGUAGAUGGAUGUUUAAGUCAGUUGUGAAAGUUUGCGGCUCAACCGUAAAAUUGCAGUUGAUACUGGAUGUCUUGAGUGCAGUUGAGGCAGGCGGAAUUCGUGGUGUAGCGGUGAAAUGCUUAGAUAUCACGAAGAACUCCGAUUGCGAAGGCAGCCUGCUAAGCUGCAACUGACAUUGAGGCUCGAAAGUGUGGGUAUCAAACAGGAUUAGAUACCCUGGUAGUCCACACGGUAAACGAUGAAUACUCGCUGUUUGCGAUAUACGGCAAGCGGCCAAGCGAAAGCGUUAAGUAUUCCACCUGGGGAGUACGCCGGCAACGGUGAAACUCAAAGGAAUUGACGGGGGCCCGCACAAGCGGUGGAGCAUGUGGUUUAAUUCGAAGCAACGCGAAGAACCUUACCAAAUCUUGACAUCCUCUGACCCCUCUAGAGAUAGAGUUUUCCCCUUCGGGGGACAGAGUGACAGGUGGUGCAUGGUUGUCGUCAGCUCGUGUCGUGAGAUGUUGGGUUAAGUCCCGCAACGAGCGCAACCCUUAAGCUUAGUUGCCAUCAUUAAGUUGGGCACUCUAGAGGGACUGCCAGGGAUAACCUGGAGGAAGGUGGGGAUGACGUCAAAUCAGCACGGCCCUUACGUCCGGGGCUACACACGUGUUACAAUGGGGGGUACAGAGGGCCGCUACCACGCGAGUGGAUGCCAAUCCCUAAAACCCCUCUCAGUUCGGACUGGAGUCUGCAACCCGACUCCACGAAGCUGGAUUCGCUAGUAAUCGCGCAUCAGCCACGGCGCGGUGAAUACGUUCCCGGGCCUUGUACACACCGCCCGUCAAGCCAUGGGAGCCGGGGGUACCUGAAGUGCGUAACCGCGAGGAUCGCCCUAGGGUAAAACUGGUGACUGGGGCU
rnacentral:rRNA from 1 species